AAGCGACCUCGCGAGAGCAAGCGGAACUCAUAAAGUACGUCGUAGUCCGGAUUGGAGUCUGCAACUCGACUCCAUGAAGUCGGAAUCGCUAGUAAUCGUAGAUCAGAAUGCUACGGUGAAUACGUUCCCGGGCCUUGUACACACCGCCCGUCACACCAUGGGAGUGGGUUGCAAAAGAAGUAGGUAGCUUAACCUUCGGGAGGGCGCUUACCACUUUGUGAUUCAUGACUGGGGUGAAGUCGUAACAAGGUAACCGUAGGGGAACCUGCGGUUGGAUCACCUCCUUA
rnacentral:rRNA from 1 species